UUCAAUGGAUAUUGCUGUUGUCAUUUGGAAGCUUUAUCACGGUACGAUGCAAACUUCAACAACAUAAUCAGCAUUGCCAAAAAGCAUUUUGCAUGAAAAUGUCAGUCCAUGCUUGUAGGACACUGCAUCAUUCUGGCAAGCAGAUAUGAUAUCAAUUAGUGCAUUCUAUUCAACAGCCAUAACAUUUUCCUUAUAUCUUAGGAAUGAAGUUACAAGUUCACAAGCAACCUUAUUAAAAUUUUUGGACUGCAUUAGAGGAGUAACAACAUUUUCUUCACAAAAAACAUUCAAUAGAGAUAGAAAAUUCCAUACCCGCAUUCUGAUCUCAGGUUUCACUUGUUUCAUGGACUAGUGUUUGAAGUGUAUAAAAUUGUUCAAUAGAAAAUUAUUUUUUUGUAUAUAUUGAACACCGGAAAAAUAAUUUACCAUUGACUUCAAUAU
rnacentral:misc_RNA from 1 species